UCAGUCUCCACUUUGGAAGAAGUACCCUGCACAAAUCUGUCUUUCCCCUUAAAAGAAUUACAGAAUGGAACUGAUGCGCAAAAACAUCAAGGAAGUAAACUGUUAAGAAAAUGAAUUGUUCAGGAAAUAUGACUGCAUAUUAUCAAAGAUCUUAGCUUUGCUGCUUGCUUGUGUCAGGGGCUGACUUGGAACAUCUCCAUUUACAAUCAACAUUCCAGCAGAUGGCCUCAAAUAUAUCUUGGAAAUUUUCAGUACAGACUGCACACAAGGACACUGAAAAGCCCAACCCUGUGUGGAACAACUACUCUUCACAAGCAUUACUAGUUUUACGUUAUCAAGGAUAGCUCAAAGAUUGAUAGUUAGAUGCAGCCUGACCCAAGUAUUUCCAACAUUUUCUGUUUAAAUCAGCACAAGAUAGAGCAGAAUAAAGUGCAAUAAUCUUUUAUGUCUAACUAAACAGAAGUACAGACAGAGAUUCCCCCUAUUGUUUCCAUCAAAAGGCUAGAGCCUCUACAAUGUAUAACCCCCUCAAAGCUCAUAUCAUGGAAGGGUGCUUGAGUAGAAGUGGUACCACUGAACCAAACUAACAUUUAAAAUAAAAACUAUUAACGUGUUAGAUUUCAGAACAGCAGACUUUGAAGGAAUGACAAGCACAAUGAAGAAAAUGGGAAAUGAUUAGAUUGAUUCAUGGGAACUUAUUCAUCGGGAACUUAAGCAUUUUGCUAUUAUAUGAUUGAAAAUGAAAUUCACGCAAUGUGUUGGGAAUAAACAGGAUUUAAAAUUGUGAAACUUAAAGAAACAACGGAGUUCAGAAAAAGAUAGUCAAGCAAUGUCUUGCCAUGAAUUCUACCUUUAUUUGGAUACCAUACAUUAUGAAACUAACUCAGACAACUAAGGCAAACAGCUAAUUGAUCUUGUAUAGGACCCAAAAUCUUUGAAAUAAUUCAAAGUUGACAUGAAUUCCAUGUUUUAAUAUAGUAGCAUCUGAUGCGUCAUCACUGAGAGACCAAGUUCACUUAAGAGCUCAUGGCUAAUUACAUUUUUGAGAAGGAACAUCAGGAUUUAGCACCAGGUCUGGGAACAUUAUGCCACAAUGUCUCAAUAGUCUUAAAUGUAUCUGAACUUGCUCUGUAAGCACUUUUAGAUAUGCAUAUAUUAUGUCAAAGUAUAAAUAGAGAACACGUGCUGAAUAGAGAACAAGUUGCAUCAAUCCCAUCAGCAAAGUGCAUGAUUAAAAGAUGUACCAAUAAACUUAAAUCACAGUCACAAAACAUGGAAAUAGGCUCUUUGACCCAAAAUACCUCCAGUGUUAGUAAGUGGUAAAAGAUUCCAAGGGGUGUUGAUGGGCAUGAGAGAAAAUAAGUUCCUGAGCUACAGGGAAAUAAGGUAAAGGAAUGGGUUCUGCUGGGAGCUGGGAUAGAGCCAAUGGUGCCCUCCUGAGUCAGAACAAGUAAAACUACUUUGAUGUUAUG